AACGCUGGCGGCAGGCCUAACACAUGCAAGUCGAGCGGUAGAGAGAAGCUUGCUUCCUCCUUGAGAGCGGCGGACGGGUGAGUAAUGCCUAGGAAUCUGCCUGGUAGUGGGGGAUAACGUUCGGAAACGGACGCUAAUACCGCAUACGUCCUACGGGAGAAAGCAGGGGACCUUCGGGCCUUGCGCUAUCAGAUGAGCCUAGGUCGGAUUAGCUAGUUGGUGGGGUAAUGGCUCACCAAGGCGACGAUCCGUAACUGGUCUGAGAGGAUGAUCAGUCACACUGGAACUGAGACACGGUCCAGACUCCUACGGGAGGCAGCAGUGGGGAAUAUUGGACAAUGGGCGAAAGCCUGANCCAGCCAUGCCGCGUGUGUGAAGAAGGUCUUCGGAUUGUAAAGCACUUUAAGUUGGGAGGAAGGGCCAUUACCUAAUACGUGAUGGUUUUGACG
rnacentral:rRNA from 1 species